ACGGAAGGCAGCAGUGAGGAAUAUUGGUCAAUGGGCGGAAGCCUGAACCAGCCAAGUAGCGUGCAGGAUGACGGCCCUAUGGGUUGUAAACCUCUUUUGUCGGGGAGUAACGUGCGGUACGUGUACCGUAUUGAGAGUACCCGAAGAAAAAGCAUCGGCUAACUCCGUGCCAGCAGCCGCGGUAAUACGGAGGAUGCGAGCGUUAUCCGGAUUUAUUGGGUUUAAAGGGAGCGCAGGCGGCGCGUCAAGUCAGCGGUAAAAUGUCGGGGCGCAACCCGGGCCGGCCGUUGAAACUGCCGUGCUCGAGUUCGUGCGAGGAGAGCGGAAUGCGUGGUGUAGCGGUGAAAUGCAUAGAUAUCACGCAGAACGCCGAUUGCGAAGGCAGCCCUCCAGCACUGGACUGACGCUGAGGCUCGAAAGCGUGGGUAUCGAACAGGAUUAGAUACCCUGGUA
rnacentral:rRNA from 1 species